rnacentral:rRNA from 1 species
AGUGAACGCUGGCGGCAGGCCUAACACAUGCAAGUCGAACGGCAGCACAGCAGUAGCAAUACUGUGGGUGGCGAGUGGCGGACGGGUGAGGAAUACAUCGGAAUCUGCCUAGUCGUGGGGGAUAACGUAGGGAAACUUACGCUAAUACCGCAUACGACCUACGGGUGAAAGCGGGGGAUCGCAAGACCUCGCGCGAUUAGAUGAGCCGAUGUCCGAUUAGCUAGUUGGCGGGGUAAUGGCCCACCAAGGCGACGAUCGGUAGCUGGUCUGAGAGGAUGAUCAGCCACACUGGAACUGAGACACGGUCCAGACUCCUACGGGAGGCAGCAGUGGGGGAAUAUUGGACAAUGGGCGCAAGCCUGAUCCAGCCAUGCCGCGUGGGUGAAGAAGGCCUCGGUGUAAGCCUUGUCGAAAGGACGAUCUUCGUCACUUGACGGUACCACGAUGAAUAAGCACCGGCUAACUCCGUGCCAGCAGCCGCGGU